UGGGCAACCUGCCCUUGACUCUGGAAUAGCAGCUGGAAACAGCUGCUAAUACCGGAUACGACCUCGAUCGACAUCAGUCGAGGUGGAAAGCUCCGGCGGUCAGGGAUGGGCUCGCGGCCUAUCAGCUUGUUGGUGGGGUAACGCUCACCAAGGCAACGGACGGGUAGCUGGUCUGAGAGGAUGGCCAGCCACAUUGGGACUGAGACACGGCCCAGACUCCGUACGGG
rnacentral:rRNA from 1 species